rnacentral:sRNA from 1 species
ACAGGAGAUGCACGGCCUCAUGGGAAGCCUGGCUGGAUAGGGUGUACAGAGCAGCAAGGGAUGGUGGUUUGUGUGCGGUCCGCAAAAUGUGAGUCUUGGCCCCUUCACAAGCUGUUCUCAUAUCCUCCAGGUUAGGAGUUCCCAAAAGAUCUGUGAUAAGGUCCAACUGUAAUUCCAAGAACACAGUGAACGAGACUAAUCAUAUAAAGCUACACAGUUGAAAAACUUAAUCAGCACAAAAAUUGCAGUACAAGUGUGACAUUCAUGAAUAAAUACUAAAAACCCUU